CAGAGCCCCACUCGUGCUCAGCCGCACUACAGUAAUCAUAUGAUAGCAGCCCGUCCACCUCUCCACCGGACCAACUUCUUCAUUCUCCACUUGUAGGAGGCAACACGAUCACAGCUGCAACGACUAAGAAAUAAGCACUAAAAAGGAACUUUUUGCGAAAGUUUAUUCGCAUAGGGGACGAGGAGGGGCUCGCAUCAUUCCGAACUGGACUGAGAUUCCGAGCCGCUUGAGAGACCACUCGGCUCGGCGGACGACUUUCCCCAACAAGUUUUUUGGGUUGUUUGUUUUUUUGUUUUAAAUUCCAUUAGGGCGCUUUGUGUGCGUGUGUGCGUGCCUGCGUGUGCGUGCGUGUGUGUGUGCGUGUGUGUGUGGACACUCCACAGUCAUGGUCGGGGAGACAGAGGUGAAGGAGAGACCCAAGUCCAACCCGGACUACUUAAUGCAGCUGAUGAACGACCGGAAGGUGAUGAGUUCACUGCCCAACUUCAGCGGCAUCUUCACGCAUCUGGAGCGGCUGCUGGAUGAAGAGAUCGGGCGGGUACGCAAGGACAUGUACAACGACACGGUGAAUGGCGGCAUGUUCAACGGGCGCGACAUGGAGGAGCUGCCUGAGGCCGUCGGUCCCGUGGCUCAGCUGCAGGAGAAGCUCUAUGUGCCCGUCAAAGAGUACCCUGAUUUUAACUUUGUCGGGAGGAUCCUUGGCCCGCGAGGACUGACGGCCAAACAACUGGAGGCAGAGACGGGCUGCAAGAUCAUGGUGCGAGGGAAAGGAUCCAUGCGGGACAAGAAGAAGGAAGAGAUGAACCGAGGCAAGCCCAACUGGGAGCACCUGAGUGAGGACCUCCACGUCCUGAUCACUGUGGAGGACACACACAACCGGGCGAAGAUCAAGCUGCAGCGGGCCAUCAACGAGGUCAAGAAGCUCCUCGUCCCCGCCGCUGAAGGCGAGGACAACUUGAAGAAAAUGCAGCUGAUGGAGUUGGCCAUCCUCAAUGGAACCUACAGAGACGCCAAUGUCAAGACACCCACCGCUGGCUUUCCACUGGCCACCCCCCAGGCCCCUCGCAUCAUCACCGGACCGACGCCCGUCCUGCCACCCACCUUACGCAACCCAGCUCCUGUGACCACGCCCACCAUCAUGCCCCUGAUUCGCCAGAUCCAGAGCUCCGCCCUGGUGCCCGGCGCCAACCCACACCCGGCUCUGGUGCAGCAAGGACCCGAGUCGGGGAUCAUCUACACACCCUACGAGUAUCCCUACACACUCACGCCCUCCAUAUUGGAAUACCCCAUCGACUCGACUGGAGUAUUAGGUAUGGCUUUCCCAACCAAAGGCUAAGCGAUUAGCUAUCCAUCUUAGCACACAAGGACUGGCUUGCAGAGACACCCCCUCCCCAACACCCACCCCCACUCCCAUCACCCCAUCCUUUCUGUAUACUGGGCAAAACGCUCAAAGCUCGCUCACACUUUAGGACGACAGAUUAUUUGCGCUCGAGUCGAGUGUCCGUGGCUUCCGUUUGGUUUUCCAACGUAUUAGCAGACUAGCGUGGUGGUGUGACGCCUUCAUUAACCCUUUUCUUUAUUUGAAAUGUGAGAUAGUUCUGCUUGGAAUUUUAACACGUUUUUUAGCCAACCUGUAGAUGUUUGUGCUUGAAUAUAUGUUACAAGUUUUGAUUCCAGUGCCUCAGAGUGAUUUUGCUAAGCUACCAGUGAUGCUUUUGUUACAUGAACGUAGCGCUUUAGAUAGAUCUGUCCUCUACAGAACACAAGACGGCAACACAAGAUUCUGUCCUCUUUGGAAGCACUGAUGUUUGACUUUAACUUUCACCCCCCACCCCCAAGCCAGCCUUAAGACGCCGCAGCCACAGUUUUGUGCACGUUUGCUCCUGGCCUCAGGCGCGUUGGCGCCAGUGGCUCUGGACUGUGUGAUGUCUUUCUGAUGAGUAACCUUCUGUGUUCUGUUUUGGCAACGUCAUCGCACUGUUAGCAGGUGCCAUGACCACUAAGGUACGCCGCCACGACAAGAGAAUCCAUCCUUACCAAAGGGUAGUGACCACAGACAGAGCUGCCACGGCAACUAACCCAUGACCCCCUGACCUUCUGACCUUUCCACCCACUGAUGACCCCACCCAUCUCCGCCCUGCUGGCACGCUCAUUGGCCAAGUGCCCCGUCGCUCUCCUCCCCUCCUUGCCCACCGGCUCAGCCAACCCAAGGCCGGCGCCGAGAGCGACGCAACUGCUUCUGCCUAACCAGCGGACGGCAGCUACGGCGGCCAUAACCCGGCGGGGACCGCACCCAUCGACAAGCCCCGACCUUUAGCCAACGUGCCUUCCUCUCACAUUGUACUUGCAGCAGGGAGGGGGGCUGUCCCUCCCGAGUCCAUCAGCAAUAAUUACUACUAAAGACUACUCAUCCUGCGCACAAGACAGGUGUGCAAUUCAAAUCUUCAAAUCAACAAUCUCAGCGUGUAUUCACAGAUUAUAUUAACCAUGUGGCCUCUUUUUCAUGCAGCUCAAUCGGGGGUGUCCACAGUGUGGCCUAUGGGCCAUUUUCAACCCGCAUAUUUUAAAGAUAAAAUGAAUUAAUGAGAUAUACAGUAUUAUUAGUCGUGCUGUCAAAUAAUUACAAUGUUUAUUAUAUAAUAUAUAUAUAUAUAUAUAUAUGAUAUAUAUGUAUAUAUAAUAUAUAUAUAUAUUAAUCACAUGGUUGCUGUAGAUUAAUUUUGAUGAAUCAAGAUGAAAUAUCUUUCAUUUGAAAUCUAUUUUCAUCGUGUUUCAUGUUGCAUGAGCAAACAUUUUAGGGAUUUGGAGUCAUUCUCUGAUGGCUUAAUUGUGUUAAAAGUUUUAGUCUGAUUAAUAAUGACUAUGGAUUAAUUUGCAUUAACUUUGCAUCAAUUUUGACAGCUGAGAUUAUUAAAUGUUACCUUCAUUUGUCACCAAGAACACAAAACUAAGAUGAGAUAGAUGAGCAUUUUGUCACCUUGGGUUGGUUUUUGCAUCUCUGAUGCAUCCUUCAGUUUUUCCACAUGUGGUCUUUGAUGGGAAAGGUUUGGACACCCCUGAACUGAAACGUAUUGGAAUCAAUGCAAACAGAGAGAGGCGGAAUGUUUAAGAAUAUCACAGGUGGUCCUCGCUAUAAACGUUUUGGGGUUAUGAACACGCUGUCAUAAAACCUCAUUUUGGUCCAAAACACGAUCCUGGCUGGAGGAUCGUGGCUGACCAGUUCCCUAUGAAGAUUAUGCAAAGUGCAGCUGAAGCACAGCUACACAGCUCUCAACACUCGACUGUCGCCAAAACAAAACAGACUACUGUUGGCCAAACCACGCCAAAAGAACAUCAACAAACUCAACUGUACUCUCUGCACGCAUGCAUCGUACCCUUGAGCAUGUUGACUUACAACGUGGAAUAGAACUUCCUGAGGACCACCUGUAAAAGUGCCCCGCUGGGCUACUUUGUGAUGUCACCAUUCCGCAGCCUUCCAAGGACCGGGAAUCAUCAUCAAAGAGUGCCUUAUUUGUGCUAGCGUGGAGCGUAAAGUAGAAUUCCAAAGUAGAUCUUCUCUCUUAUCGGAAAAAAAAAGGCAAAUGCCAGUGCUUGUUUAAAGCGCACACAUAUGGGAGGCUUGCACUUACAAAACAACCAGCGUGAAGAAAAAGUGCCUUUUUUUUCCCACUAUUAAAUUGUGCAGAUGAACUGCAGACUGUUUACUUCUUUAGCGCCUCAGUGGACUGCAAGUGCCAACCCAGUAUUGAUACCGCAGGCCGCACUGAUCCAUAAUGUCUCUUUUAUUGAUGUGUGAGGGUGGAACAGUUAUUUUGUGUGUGUUUGUUUGUUGUAACUUGCAUUGUGUAUCCCACAUGCAACACCAGCCCGCCAGAGGCCUUAAAAACAAAUCAUGGAGUAGUAACACCUGUAACCAGUUCAUAAUGUAUUUUGAUAUUCUAUUUUGUACAUGAAAAUAACAUUAAAUGACUUUUCACAUAUGCUGCCUUACCAUGGGAUAUAUAUACUGUGUAUGUGUAUAUAUAUAUAUAUAUAUAUAUAUAUAUAUAUAUAUAUAUAUACACAUACAUCUAAAUAACAGUGUGUCCUGGAAUACUGGAGAUGUUUUCUGUGUGAACUGGAACCUGCGGAGAUGAGCGCUCAUUGCCUCCUGUGCUUUUCUUUUGUACACCAGUGUGACAGUUAACAAUGUAGUUCCACAUUAAUCAACAGCCAAGGUAGACGAUACUAAAUCUGUGCUUUAACCACUUUAAUUGUAUGUGUCUCUGCUGUGGGUUUUCUUUGACGGUACACAUAAAAGUUAGCGUUGGAAUGAUGAUGAAGCAGGAAUAACUUUGUACUGCAAAAGGCACACGAUUAAACUCAAUAGUUGUAAAACUAA